CCUACGGGCGGCAGCAGUGAGGAAUAUUGGUCAAUGGGCGCGAGCCUGAACCAGCCAAGUAGCGUGAAGGAUGACUGCCCUACGGGUUGUAAACUUCUUUUAUAAAGGAAUAAAGUGAGGCACGGGUGCCUUUUUGUAUGUACUUUAUGAAUAAGGAGAGGCUAACUCCGUGCCAGCAGCCGCGGUAAGACGGGGGAGCCGAGCGUUAUCCGGAUUUAUUGGGUUUAAAGGAAGCUUAUAUGGGUUGUUAAGUGAGUUGUGAAAGUUUGCGGCUCAACCGUAAAAUUGCAAUUGAUACUGGCAGCCUUGAGUACAGUUGAGGUAGGCGGAAUUCGUGGUGUAGCGGUGAAAUGCUUAGAUAUCACGAAGAACUCCGAUUGCGAAGGCAGCUUACUAAACUGCCACUGACAUUGAUGCUCGAAAGUGUGGGUAUCAAACAGGAUUAGAUACCCCUGUAGUC
rnacentral:rRNA from 1 species